rnacentral:rRNA from 1 species
AGCGUAGACGGAAUGGCAAGUCUGAUGUGAAAGGCCGGGGCUCAACCCCGGGACUGCAUUGGAAACUGUCAAUCUAGAGUACCGGAGGGGUAAGUGGAAUUCCUAGUGUAGCGGUGAAAUGCGUAGAUAUUAGGAGGAACACCAGUGGCGAAGGCGGCUUACUGGACGGUAACUGACGUUGAGGCUCGAAAGCGUGGGGAGGCAAAACA